rnacentral:rRNA from 1 species
UUGAACGCUGGCGGCAUGCUUUACACAUGCAAGUCGAACGGCAGCACGGGCUUCGGCCUGGUGGCGAGUGGCGAACGGGUGAGUAAUAUAUCGGAACGUACCCAGAAGUGGGGGAUAACGUAGCGAAAGUUACGCUAAUACCGCAUACGAUCUAUGGAUGAAAGCAGGGGACCGCAAGGCCUUGUGCUCCUGGAGCGGCCGAUAUCUGAUUAGCUAGUUGGUGAGGUAAAGGCUCACCAAGGCGACGAUCAGUAGCUGGUCUGAGAGGACGACCAGCCACACUGGAACUGAACCAGUGUCCAUACUCCUACGAGGGGCAGCAGGGGGGUAUUUUGGACAAUGGGCGCAAGCCUGCUCCAGCAAUGCCGCGUGAGUGAAAAGGGCCUUGGGGUUUAAAAGCUUUUUUGUCAGGAAAAAACGGGUAAAGGCUAUUACCUUUGGCUAAUGACGUUACCUGAAGAAUAAGCCCCGGCUAACUACGUG